AGUACAGGUGUGGCCAAUUAGUGCGCCGGGUGGCUGUGGAAAGCACGGACCUGUUUGUGCAGGAUAAGAAGAUUUGGGGAGAGUCUCCCUGACCUGCACAGGGCUCUGAGCUGUGAGUUGUGGUGCAGCCGAGUCCUGAUUUGAACCAGACUGAUGAAUGCGCUGUAGCUCCAUGCUGAAGAGGCAGUGAGAAGACCUGUGGGGAGUGUUUCUGGUAUACACACCCCUCCCUCCAUGCCAUGUCAAGGGGGGCGGUCACCUUAUCAUCUAGUUUUACCUUGAAUCUACCUCAGCCUACAGAGGCAAAUAAAACUUCUUCCAACAAAGUUUACUUUAAUGAAAUAUUGGAAUUACUGGAAUCCCUUACACCUAUAUACACACCCUGCCCACGGGAGACGUGCUGAGGAGGCGAGGAGGAAAGUCAAGGAGAGAGGAGGCGAUGCAACAGGCAUUCAACAAAAUGAGACAUCCUCGCUCGCUCCAGCCCUCAUUUUACUUAUGACAAAUUUCACAUCUGUAAGUUAUUACUGUCAUUUCUUCUGCCAAAUCAUGUUGUCAAAAUCUGAAGUGCUCUUAAAGAAAUACAAAAAAUCAUCCCAUAUCCCGACUGCAAAUCUUUUAUUU